rnacentral:rRNA from 1 species
UACGGAGGGCGCAAGCGUUGUUCGGAAUCACUGGGCGUAAAGCGCGUGCAGGCGGCUUGGUAAGUCGGGUGUGAAAUCCCGGAGCGCAACUCCGGAACUGCACCCGAUGCUGCCUCGCUAGAGUCCCGGAGAGGAUGGCGGAAUUUCCGGUGUAGAGGUGAAAUUCGUAGAUAUCGGAAGGAACACCAGCGGCGAAGGCGGCCAUCUGGACGGUGACCGGCGCUCAGACGCGAAAGCGCGGGGAGCAAACAGG